AACGAACGCUGGCGGCAUGCCUAAUACAUGCAAGUCGAACGAGAUCUUCGGAUCUAGUGGCGCACGGGUGCGUAACGCGUGGGAAUCUGCCCUUGGGUUCGGAAUAACUUCUGGAAACGGAAGCUAAUACCGGAUGAUGACGUAAGUCCAAAGAUUUAUCGCCCAAGGAUGAGCCCGCGUAGGAUUAGGUAGUUGGUGAGGUAAAGGCUCACCAAGCCGACGAUCCUUAGCUGGUCUGAGAGGAUGAUCAGCCACACUGGGACUGAGACACGGCCCAGACUCCUACGGGAGGCAGCAGUAGGGAAUAUUGGACAAUGGGCGAAAGCCUGAUCCAGCAAUGCCGCGGGAGUGAUGAAGGCCUUAGGGUUGUAAAGCUCUUUUACCCGGGAUGAUAAUGACAGUACCGGGAGAAUAAGCUCCGGCUAACUCCGU
rnacentral:rRNA from 1 species